rnacentral:rRNA from 1 species
UGCAAGUCGAGCGGACGGAUGGGAGCUUGCUCCCUGAAGUCAGCGGCGGACGGGUGAGUAACACGUGGGCAACCUGCCUGUAAGACUGGGAUAACUUCGGGAAACCGGAGCUAAUACCGGAUAAUGCAUAACCUCUCAUGAGGCUAUGCUGAAAGAUGGUUUCGGCUAUCACUUACAGAUGGGCCCGCGGCGCAUUAGCUAGUUGGUGAGGUAACGGCUCACCAAGGCAACGAUGCGUAGCCGACCUGAGAGGGUGAUCGGCCACACUGGGACUGAGACACGGCCCAGACUCCUACGGGAGGCAGCAGUAGGGAAUCUUCCGCAAUGGACGAAAGUCUGACGGAGCAACGCCGCGUGAGUGAUGAAGGUUUUCGGAUCGUAAAACUCUGUUGUCAGGGAAGAACAAGUGCCGGAGUAACUGCCGGCACCUUGACGGUACCUGACCAGAAAGCCACGGCUAACUACGUGCCAGCAGCCGCGGUAAUACGUAGGUGGCAAGCGUUGUCCGGAAUUAUUGGGCGUAAAGCGCGCGCAGGCGGUCUCUUAAGUCUGAUGUGAAAGCCCACGGCUCAACCGUGGAGGGUCAUUGGAAACUGGGGGACUUGAGUGCAGAAGAGGAAAGUGGAAUUCCACGUGUAGCGGUGAAAUGCGUAGAGAUGUGGAGGAACACCAGUGGCGAAGGCGACUUUC